AGCAGAAACGGUUAGGCCCCUGGAAAGUGAAAAAAACAUAGAAAAAAAGAUGGCGGAGACCAAGACGGUAGGCGUGGUUGGCAGUGGCCAGAUGGGCUCCGGUAUCGCCCAACUCGCCGCUUUACAUGGGCUCCAUGUCUGGCUCCUUGACACGGAUCCUGAUGCUCUUUCCAAAGCUAGAAAAUCUGUCGCUAGUAACAUCCACCGGCUCGUCUCCAAAGGUCGUCUCUCUCAGGUCAAUCUAAUAUUUACUAUUUUAAAUGUCUUCUUCAUGUUUGUUAUUUUGUCUACGUGAAUUUUCUGAGUUUUUAAGUUAAAAUUUAGAUUUUCAUUUAAUCACCAGUUUCAAAACACUUCUUAUUAAGUGAAAAACAUGUGAGAAUCUCAAUCCCAAACGAAAUCUUAAAAUUGAUCGAAGGAGAAAAAUGUUGAUCUUGGAAUUUACGCACCCAGGCCCCGACCCAAAUCCAGCCUAAAACCCGAAUUUGAACCAAGCAAUGCACACCCUUUUGAAAAGUAGCAUACACUUUUAAGACUCAAAAAAUGUAUGAUGGUCAGUACCAUGAUCAGCUAAAAGAAGAGAUCAAAUUGCAUGUGUUGGACUUAUAAUUUAAAUUCAGCCCAAUUGUACUUGAGAGAGAAGUGUUGGAGUCGAAUAAAGAAAAAUGAAAGAGAAUAAAUGGAAGGGAGAACGAAUCUAAAUUGGCCUAAACCAUUUUGGUACCAUUUUGGUGGGUUUUACCUCAAGCUCAACGGAUGAACCUUACCCAUAGUCAUCUGCAUUUUUGAGUCAAGAAUUUGAGUCAAAGAAUUUCACAACAAAAAUGAUUGGUGUAUUGAGUAGCUCUAGCUAUAGGUCAAUUCUAAGUUAUAAUUGGCUAUUUUUGAUUUGUGGAACCAAAGCUCUUGAACCAAAUUGCAGGUGGUUGGUUCCCAACAAAUUCGGUUCCAGCGACUCUAUUUCGGUUUCGAUUUGGUAUAGCGUUGAUUUCGGUUAUGUUUCAAUGUUCAGUUCAGUUUUGAAUAGGCU
rnacentral:misc_RNA from 1 species